CCCAGACUCUGUGCAGCAGCCCCCCCUUUUUUUUUUGCAUGCGUGCUCUUGGUUGCAUCCUGACCUCUACCUCAGGCUGACCCUUUGGAGGGGCACGGGGGGGGGGGGAGAGAAGAGAGGAAGGGCGGGAGAUGGGAGACUUCUGCAGACACAGCCAUUAUGCAUCAAGAGAUUGGCUCUAAGGAGAAGGCUGACGGCUGCAGCAUGAAGCGCAUUAUUACCUUGUGAUUCCAUGACCCUCCUCUAUGCAUCCCUAACUCUCGAAAGCUGAUUCAGCUUUCAGCUAGUGCUCUGGUGACUCCACUGCUGCAACAGAAUCUUCUAACUGGUAUGUUACAGGCAUCUUCAGCUGUCAUGGAGUUCAACUGGAUGACAUUUAAAAAAAAUUUUUAAAGCC